rnacentral:rRNA from 1 species
GAUGAACGCUAGCGGCAGGCUUAACACAUGCAAGUCGAGGGGUAGAAGGAGCUUUCCCCUUUGAGACCCGCGCACGGGUGCGUAACGCGUAUGCAAAAUACCUUGUACAGGUGCAUAGCACAGAGAAAUUUGGCUUAAUGCCUCAUAGUAUAUACCCUUCGCAUGUUGGGUAUAUUAAAGUUCCAACGGUACAAGAUGAGCAUGCGUCCCAUUAGUUAGUUGGUAAGGUAACGGCUUACCAAGACGAUGCUGGGUAGGGGUCCUGAGAGGGAGCUCCCCCACACUGGUACUGGGGCACCGACCAGACUUCUACCGGAGGCAGCAGGUGGGGAUAUUGAUCAAUGGUCGCGAGGCUUAACCAGCCAUCCCGCGUGCAGGAAGACCGUCCUAUGGAUUGUAAACUGCUUUUAUACAGGAAGAAGCCCUCCCACGUGUGGGAGCUUGACGGUACUGUAAGAAGAAGGACCGGCUAACUCCGUG